GAAAACCCAAGUGUUGGGCUCGCGUUUUCAACACUGCUCUGCAUGAAAAGCACCUAUGAUAGUCAACAGCAAAGAAGAAUUUGUGCCCUUCUCUCGUGAACGGCGAGUAGGGGCUUUGGACGCAGUGGCCGGGACGUAGAGGAGCCAUACUGGGGCCCAAACUAGCUCAGACAAAAUAUCCACCUAGCCCAGUAUGUGCACUAGUCACCAGCAGUAGUUGGUAUGGAAA
rnacentral:lncRNA from 1 species